AAGCACGCAAGUUGAGAUGAUAAUUAGUUAUACGAACAAAUACACAAAUUCUAAUUUGCAUCAACCAACAACAAUCGCAUUCUGAUUUCACAAUCAGGAGAGUGAAAUUCAAAAAGAGGAGAGAACAUCGUCUUCUCUGAAUCGUAACAAGGUGUUCUGGUUGAAAUUUGGCAACAGUAUAUUAGCAACUAUGAAAUUCAAGAAAGGGACUAAGGUGGAAAUAUUAAGCAAAACAGAGGUGCCUUCUGGCUCCUGGCGAUGUGCAGAGAUCAUCUGUGGUAAUGGUCACCACUACUCUGUUAGAUAUGAUGGAUAUGACGGUACUUCUUGCAAAGAAGUUGUGGAUAGGGUACCCAGGAGAGCCAUAAGACCAUGUCCUCCUGGCCUUAAAGUCACACAGGAUUGGAGGCCAGGUGAUGUCGUAGAGGUCUGUCAGAAUUCCUCCUGGUCAAUGGCUACAGUUUUGAAGGUUUUGGGGAAGGAGUACAUUUUGGUCAGGCUGCUUGGAUCUUCUUUGGAAUUUAAUGUGAAUAAAUUUGACAUUCGGGCGAGACAGUCUUGGCUAGAUGACAAGUGGAUUGUGCUUGGAAAGGGCACAUCCAGAUGUGAGAAUGGAAAGCGUGAUGAUACACUUGCUCCAAGGCUUAAUUUAAUGUCUAGUGCCCAAGUUCAGAAAACAGCCUUGAAGACAAAGCGAUCUUUUGACCAUGAUUAUCUUCAUGACAGGAAAAAAGGGAAUUUUCUGAAUUCCCAUCUUGGCUCUAAAACAUUAAAGCGAAGGAGCCAUUCACAAGUUGACUUAUAUGCAGAGCCUCCCCUGAAGCUGAGAGCAACCAAUAAUGAAGGUAGAUAUCACAGAGCAAGAGUUGCGAAUCCAUCCACGCUACACAGGCAGGCAGAUGGUGUUGCUGUCCCAAGGGACAUUCAGGUUGAAGAAUAUAGAGAAAAAUUCGAAACAAAUGAUGCUGAUGACGUCUCAAGCUCUGUUUGUAGUUGUAGUAUCAAUGACUGCAAUUUGAAUAAAGCAUGCUGUCCUGUAUCUGCAGGUCUUGUUGAAGAUUUCGAAGGUGCAACUUCUGAUGCUGAAUCUGCAUGCCAUUCUAGAUAUGAGGAAGGGAAUCGUUCCCUUUUUUCAGAAGAAGAAAUGGCCGCAGAAAUCCAUAGGGCCAUGAUGGAGGCAUACAGAUUUUGCUUCCAGGUGUCUGCAGAUGAUGGUGCUUGCCAUCUUUUUCUCGGUGUAGAGAAUGGCUGGGUUUUCUAGUAUGGUUCUUGAUAAGCCAGUGAUUACAUAAACUUUGGGGGUUCUGCAUCCUUCCAUUUUUGCCUGUCUGUAGGCUUAAAUGUGCUUUGCUGAAGAAAACAAGCUCAGGGUCUUGUGGCUGCCAUGGGCUGUCCUUAUUUGUGGAUAUUCAAUAGGUGUACUCAAACCCAAACUUGCGCUUGAAAUAAUUAACACUAUCAUCUGAGCACACUCCUUAAGAGAUUAUUAUAUGUCAAAGCCUGGUUAAUAGUCUGAAAAUUAUUUGUAAAUUAUUUUGAAAUGCCUAAUAUUCUGGUAACAGGACAGAAGAAACUAAUGGAAGGCUGAAUUAUGGUGAAUGUCUGUGUAUUGAUUAAUAUUCAGUGAUCAAAUCUAUAAACUAAUGGUGACAUAGUCAGGUGUUAUCGCUGCCUAAGCUGCAUUAGACAGCAGCUGCAUAGGGUUAAGUCCUGGAUUUGGAUCUUUAGCAUGCUCUCACUUAACAACUUGUGUAAUUUACUAGCGAUAACUUUUUGAGUUAAUUGGAUUUUACACAAAAUUCUUGUUUUUGCUGCUGUCGUUGCUCAUAUGCACUAUUGUAUAAAUAACUAAUUCUUUUCUUCUUGUGGUGGGAUGCACACAAUGAAAUUCCUCAACGACUUGUCGGCGCAUCACUGUUCAGCUACGAUCAAAUAGCGUGCAGAUGUCUGCUAAAGCUAGAAUGACACAAGAGGAUUCUCUGCUUUACUCCCUCGCCUGAGCUGUGUAUGUCCAAGCUGUGAUGCGCGUCUUUUAAUGUUCUAGUUUUUGGCACGCCUGGUUUGUUUCAAGGAGGUCUCUCGCUUGGCUUACAUGCGAUGCACGUCAUUGAACUUGCUGUUCCAUGUUCAGUUUACUGUUUACAGCAAGUGGACGAAUGAACCAGGACUCUUCUUCAAAGCUACGUUCUCUUUCAUAUCUGAUUUUCUAGCAUGUUUCUAACGCUGCUUGUCUUUUCUUGCUGAGACUGCAUCAAUCCCCCGACGAAGAGGGACUCGUGGGCUUCAAUCGUUUAUGGGCCUUGUUCAGGCCUAGAUUGUAGCCUGUCACAGAUUGGCCUUCUGGCUCAAAUUCUUUGGAGCUGACGUUAUUGCAAACUGAUAAUGCUUCUUCUCCUUUUACCAAAUAAUAAUAUUAAUAAUAAUGCUCCAAGCAGAAGGAUGGCUGUGUUAUCCCCAUUUCAAAUUUGAAAA